rnacentral:rRNA from 1 species
UACGAAGGGGGCUAGCGUUGCUCGGAACGACUGGGCGUAAAGGGCGCGUAGGCGGCUUGCACCGUCAGAUGUGAAAUUCCUGGGCUUAACCUGGGGGCUGCAUUUGAUACGUGUGGGCUUGAGUGCGGAAGAGGGUCGUGGAAUUCCCAGUGUAGAGGUGAAAUUCGUAGAUAUUGGGAAGAACACCGGUGGCGAAGGCGGCGACCUGGUCCGUGACUGACGCUGAGGCGCGAAAGCGGGGGGAGCAAACAGG